rnacentral:rRNA from 1 species
UUACUGAGUUUACGCUCUACAACCCUUUGUGAACAUACCUAUAACUGUUGCUUCGGCGGGUAGGGUCUCCGUGACCCUCCCGGCCUCCCGCCCCCGGGCGGGUCGGCGCCCGCCGGAGGAUAACCAAACUCUGAUUUAACGACGUUUCUUCUGAGUGGUACAAGCAAAUAAUCAAAACUUUUAACAACGGAUCUCUUGGUUCUGGCAUCGAUGAAGAACGCAGCGAAAUGCGAUAAGUAAUGUGAAUUGCAGAAUUCAGUGAAUCAUCGAAUCUUUGAACGCACAUUGCGCCCGCCAGCAUUCUGGCGGGCAUGCCUGUUCGAGCGUCAUUUCAACCCUCAAGCUCUGCUUGGUGUUGGGGCCCUACAGCUGAUGUAGGCCCUCAAAGGUAGUGGCGGACCCUCCCGGAGCCUCCUUUGCGUAGUAACUUUACGUCUCGCACUGGGAUCCGGAGGGACUCUUGCCGUAAAACCCCCAAUUUUCCAAAGGUUGACCUCGGAUCAGGUAGGAAUACCCGCUGAACUUAAGCAUAUCAAUAAGCGGAGGAAAAGAAACCAACAGGGAUUGCCUCAGUAACGGCGAGUGAAGCGGCAACAGCUCAAAUUUGAAAUCUGGCCCUA